GCGACCGGCCACACUGGGACUGAGACACGGCCCAGACUCCUACGGGAGGCAGCAGUGGGGAAUAUUGCACAAUGGGCGAAAGCCUGAUGCAGCGACGCCGCGUGAGGGAUGACGGCCUUCGGGUUGUAAACCUCUUUCAGUAGGGAAGAAGCGAAAGUGACGGUACCUGCAGAAGAAGCGCCGGCUAACUACGUGCCAGCAGCCGCGGUAAUACGUAGGGCGCAAGCGUUGUCCGGAAUUAUUGGGCGUAAAGAGCUCGUAGGUGGCUUGUCGCGUCUGCCGUGAAAACCCGAGGCUCAACCUCGGGCGUGCGGUGGGUACGGGCAGGCUAGAGUGUGGUAGGGGAGACUGGAACUCCUGGUGUAGCGGUGAAAUGCGCAGAUAUCAGGAAGAACACCGAUGGCGAAGGCAGGUCUCUGGGCCAUUACUGACACUGAGGAGCGAAAGCAUGGGUAGCGAACAGGAUUAGAUACCCUGGUAGUCCAUGCCGUAAACGUUGGGCACUAGAUGUGGGGAACAUUCCACGUUUUCCGCGUCGUAGCUAACGCAUUAAGUGCCCCGCCUGGGGAGUACGGCCGCAAGGCUAAAACUCAAAGGAAUUGACGGGGGCCCGCACAAGCGGCGGAGCAUGCUGAUUAAUUCGAUGCAACGCGAAGAACCUUACCAAGGCUUGACAUGCACCGGACGACUCCAGAGAUGGGGUUUUCUUCGGACUGGUGCACAGGUGGUGCAUGGUUGUCGUCAGCUCGUGUCGUGAGAUGUUGGGUUAAGUCCCGCAACGAGCGCAACCCUUGUUCUAUGUUGCCAGCACGUGAUGGUGGGGACUCAUAGGAGACUGCCGGGGUCAACUCGGAGGAAGGUGGGGACGACGUCAAAUCAUCAUGCCCCUUAUGUCUUGGGCUUCAAGCAUGCUACAAUGGUCGGUACAAUGGGUUGCGAAACUGUGAGGUGGAGCGAAUCCCAAAAAGCCGGCCUCAGUUCGGAUUGGGGUCUGCAACUCGACCCCAUGAAGUCGGAGUCGCUAGUAAUCGCAGAUCAGCAACGCUGCGGUGAAUACGUUCCCGGGCCUUGUACACACCGCCCGUCAAGUCACGAAAGUCGGUAACACCCGAAGCCAGUGGCCCAUCCUCGUGAGGGAGCUUCGAAGG
rnacentral:rRNA from 1 species